rnacentral:rRNA from 1 species
AUUGAACGCUGGCGGCAUGCCUAACACAUGCAAGUCGAACGGGAGUGAAGGGGCAACUCUUCACUUCAGUGGCGGACGGGUGCGUAAUACGUAGGAAUCUGCCCUAAAGUGGGGGAUAACCCGGGGAAACUCGGGCUAAUACCGCAUAAUCUCUAUGGAGCAAAAGGGGCGAAAGCUCUUGCUUUAGGAUGAGCCUACGUCGGAUUAGCUUGUUGGUGAGGUAAAGGCUUACCAAGGUGACGAUCCGUAGCUGGUCUGAGAGGACGGCCAGCCUCACUGGGACUGAGACACGGCCCAGACUCCUACGGGAGGCAGCAGUGGGGAAUUUUGGACAAUGGGGGAAACCCUGAUCCAGCGAUGCCGCGUGUGUGAAGAAGGCCUUCGGGUUGUAAAGCACUUUUAGUGGGGAAGAAAAGCUCAAGGUGAAUAUCCUUGAGCCAUGACGUUACCCAAAGAAAAAGCACCGGCUAACUCUGUGCCAGCAGCCGCCGCCG